rnacentral:tRNA from 19 species
GCCGCUUUAGCUCAGUUGGUAGAGCAACUGAUUUGUAAUCAGUAGGUCCACAGUUCGAAUCUGUGAAGCGGCACCA